UUUCGCCGAUUUGCUGGUGGCAGAAGAAGACAACAAAUCUGCAAGGCUUCAGUAGCUAGCUUCUUUUCCUGCAAGAUUCCUGAAUCAAAACAUGAUUUUAAAAGAGCUGAGGUGGCACAGUGGUUAGAGUGCAGUACUAGUUCAGCUGACUGCUAGUUCAGCAGAUCAGCGGAUCAAAUCUCACCGGCUCAAGGUUGACUCAGCCUUCCAUCCUUCCAAGCUGUAAGGAAAAGGAAAUGUAUGUUGGGACCCAACAUUAAAAGCUUCAAGCUGAACUAUUUUCAUCACCCAAAAACAUUUGAGAUUAUCCUACUUGGAUAAGUUGUCUAUAUAGAAUGGCCGUGCUGCUGAAAUAAUUGGAAAUUUAUCUUUCCUGUGGAACUCUG